rnacentral:rRNA from 1 species
UAGUCCACGCCGUAAACGAUGAUUACUCGAAGUAUGCGAUAUGACAGUAUGCUUCCAAGCGAAGUGAUAAGUAAUCCACCUGGGAAGUACGCCGGCAACGGUGAAACUCAAAGGAAUUGACGGGGGCCCGCACAAGCGGAGGAACAUGUGGUUUAAUUCGAUGAUACGCGAGGAACCUUACCCGGGAUUGAAAUGUAUAUGAGCCCCUUUGGAAACAGAGGGGGAUCUCUUCGGAGACAUAUAUGU